CUCAUUUCCGUAUUCAUCUCCCACAUUAUUAUUAUUUUUUUUCUUUCUUCCCCAGUUUCAGAACAAGCCGCAUGAUCACCUAAGGAUUCUUCCCAUUCCCAUUCAACCACGUCCUCCCAGAUUCUUUGCUCCAAAUGUGAUCUCCUCCCGCAAGGCAAUCCUCCCAGCGUCCGCGAGUCAAGCAUCGUCUUCCCAAAGAUCAAUUUCCAGCCGAUUCUGAAUCUCAGCAUCUUUAUCUCCCACAGAUAAGAAUCCCCUGUUCUACGUCCUCCCCUCUUCCGCUUCCACGAUUCAAAUCUCUACCUUCCAUCUCAGCACCGAACCAAGGGAAGAUCUCUUCCCAAAAAUCGGCAGAUCAUCCCUUUCCUUCCCAGCAAACCGAAGCAACCAGAUCAUCCAUUCCUUCCGCGCCCAAAGAUUUCAUCCAAGCCAAGAUCCUCUCCGCUUCACCGUGCCUCAGCUGCACCCGGAUUCGUUCCAAGAAGAGAUCCCCUCAUUCCCAGAUCCUCCGCGCGUCCCCAACGCUUUCCAGCCGCAUCCCAGAUCUCCUCUUCGUGCCAGCCAGCCUUCCACGUUCGCCCGGAUCGCCCGGCGGCCGGAUUUCAAGCAGCCUUCCGCAUCAACGCGUAUCAACCGCGUCCAGCUCCUCCCCCUCGAUUCCAACGCCAAAACAGGGGAAAGAUCGAUGAUAUGCUAAACCGGGUGCCCUUGGAGAUAUAAAAGGAGGAGCGGAUAACGGAGGGAAGAGAGGAGAGAGCACGGUUUGAAGAACAGAGGAGAGGCUCUGUUCGGGAGAAAAGAAGAAAAGAAAGGAGGGGGGAGAGAGUAUUUUGGGUAUUUUGGGAAUAAUGGGAGCGGAAGAUUUUCAUAUGAAGAUGGGAGGACAUCCGGCCACCACGCGCAGCUAAACCUCUAAUCUAGGGCUGGAUGAAGCCCUAGUAAUGUAUCAGGGCAUUGUAUUUCUUACCCUUUUAAUCUUUUUGGAGUUUGUUUAAAUUCUCAUUCUCAAUGAAAAUUUCUUUUAUGAUGUUUAAA
rnacentral:lncRNA from 1 species